rnacentral:ribozyme from 1 species
UGCCCAUCAACUCCUAUCCCUACCUGCUCGUGGUCUUGGUCUUGGGGAAGAUCGGGUAAACAACCCCCGGUGGGAACUUUGGUCGUAUGCUGACAGGGAAGG